rnacentral:lncRNA from 1 species
GGGAUUGUCUCCGCUCGUCCGUGGUACGGAUUGCCCCGUAUCCCCUGCGUUGAGAAGUACGACGUUCUGGUCCGGAUUUUUACAAAAAUGGAAUGACUAUAUCUUAUAUCUGGUUUUACGACUGUCAAGCUGUGCAGGACAGAUCUGUCAAGGCUGUAGCUGAAUAGCACAAACACGAUAGAGAGAACAUACAUACGAGAAGACAUUUUUUUAUACUUCGCAUUGCAAGGCGGUAGUGUUGCUGUUUGGGGUUUUGGUUGUGGUAGCUUUAGCAUUUACAGUGUGGCAGUUAUUGCUGGUGAUGAUGGGUGUGGAGUACUGUAGUGUACCUGGUAAAUGGGAUUUGCUGCAGGGCGUUGUGUACGGCCUUGGGGAUUAGAGGAAUUACACGGCAGUGAGCAGUGGCGACGGCGCUGUCGGCCGGAGGACGCAAUGCGGUCGGCAUGUGCGGGAGGAACGACCCGUGGGUCAUCCCCUCUCUAAAAUCUCUAUGAUCCCGGUAUGU